AUUGAACGCUGGCGGCAUGCCUUACACAUGCAAGUCGAACGGUAACAGGUCUUCGGAUGCUGACGAGUGGCGAACGGGUGAGUAAUACAUCGGAACGUGCCUAGUAGUGGGGGAUAACUACUCGAAAGAGUGGCUAAUACCGCAUGAGAUCUACGGAUGAAAGCAGGGGAUCGCAAGACCUUGUGCUACUAGAGCGGCCGAUGGCAGAUUAGGUAGUUGGUGGGAUAAAAGCUUACAAAGCCGCCGAUCUGUCGCUGGUCUGGGAGGACAGUGAGCCACACUGGGACUGGGAACCGGCCCGGACUCCUCCGGGAGGAAGCAGUGGGGAAUUUUGGACAAUGGGCGCAGGCCUGAUCCAGCAAUGCCGCGUGCAGGAUGAAGGCCUUCGGGUUGUAAACUGCUUUUGUACGGAGCGAAAUGCCCUUGGUUAAUACCCUGGUGUCAUGACGGUACCGUAAGAAUAAGCACCGGCUAACUACGUGCCAGCCGCCGCCGUAAGAC
rnacentral:rRNA from 1 species